ACAAUUUGAAUCGUUUUUGCCAAUUUAUUGCGCAGAGUAGAAGGCGAGAGAUCACUUGCACGGGAAGCCACGGGUUGCAUAUUGCUCUGCUGUAACCGAUCAGCCGAUGGGGCGAUUGCUGCGCUGUGAUUGUCAAGUGAUUACGCUGCUACUUCGUGAUGGCAUUUGCUGUGAAGUGCACAGGAAAAUCAAAGGGGAAAGCACACACCAUCCAACACCGCCACCCCAAACCCAGCAAAAAGGAGCGACAGGCUACGGUGGUGGUGUACAGCUUUUUUUAAUUCGUGCCCAAACGACAUAAGACAUGGAGCUGAAAACAAGAGGAGACGACAAGACAUUGGAACCAUUGGUUGGUGGCGUAUGCUACGCUGCCUCGCUACUCUCAACCGCAGAUGGAUAAACCGAUAAGCAAAAGCAUCGAAUCGAGAGGUAGGUGGUUCCAGUGCCGGAGACACGGGACAACCCGAACCGUCGUUCCGUUUGUGUGUAUGUCGUGAUGGAAUGUUCGAGCUUAUCACCCCUAACCGUCGCGCAUAACUCACGACCGAACCAACACUGUGCGCCGUGUGUUUCCUGCUGUGCCGCGCCGCUAUGUGACCAGAAAUGGAGCGCAGGGUGAUUCCAUUUUUUUUAUUU